rnacentral:lncRNA from 1 species
UUUUUAGGGCCACACCCUUGGCACAUGGAAGUUCCCAGGCUAGGGGGUCUAAUCGGAGAUGCAAUCCACUCACUAUAAUAAUAACCCACCUGAAAAAUCCUUUCUAAGUACUGGAUGUUCCUCUGAUAAAGUUCUUGCUAUUCUUCUUUUUUUUUUUUUUUUUUUUUUUUUUUUUUUCUGUCACAGCUUGCAGUGGCUUGAUGUGGGAAUCUCAGUUCCCAGACCAGGGAUUGAACCCUGGCAGCAGCAGUGAAAGUGCUGAGUCCUAACCACUAGACCACUAUGGAACUCCCAAGGUCAUGCUAUUCUUUUUUGAAGACUAAAUAGUACCAACCUAUGUCGUUGUUUUUACCAGUUUCCUUUUUUUUUUUUCUGAAAAAUAAUAAAAUGGUCACAAUUAAAUUUUUAAAAACAUUUUUGCUUUUUAGGGCUGUGCCCACAGCAUAUGGAAAUUCCCAGGCAAGGGGUUGAAUCAGAGCUACAGCUGCCAGCCUGCAUCACAGCCACAGCAACACAGGAUCUGCACCGUGUCUGCAUCAUACACCACAGCUAAUGGGAACACCAGAUCCUUAACCCACUGAGCAAGGCCAGGGAUCAAACCUACAACCUCAUGGUUGUUAGUGGGAUUUGUUUCCACCUGGCCACAAUGGGAACUCCAGACCUAAAUUUUAAAAAGAAAUUCUAGCUUAUGAGAGAUGAUAAUAUUAUUUUAUUUUAUUAUUAUUAUUAUUUUUCUUUUUAAGGCUGCACCUGCUGCAUAUGGAAGUUCCCAGGCUAGGGGUUGGAUCGGAGCUGUAGCCACCGGCUUACACCACAGUCACAGCAAUGCCAGAUCCUUAAUCCAAUGAUCAAAGCCGGGGAUCAAACCUGCGUCCUCAUGGAUAUUAGUCAGGUUCAUUACUACUGAGCCACAAUAGGAACUCUGAGAUAAGAAUUUUAGAGUUAAAAGUAAAAUAGAAGGAAUCUAAACAAAUGCAUUUGUUUGAGGGCACAUUCAUACAAAACUUCUAAGGAAAAUGCUAGGAACAUGUCUUCUUGUCCUGGUUAAUAGAUGAAUUAUCUGUUUAAUACAGAUGAGGAUACUAUAGAAAUAAAAAAGACAAAAAUAAUAAUUAUGAGGUAUGGCAUCCAGGGAAUUCAGUUUUUCCUUCAGAAAAAAAAAAUUUUUGUUUUUUUGGUCUUUUUCUAGGGCUACACCCUCGGUGUAUGGAGGUUCCCAGGCUAGGGGUCAAAUCAGAGCUGUAGCCGCCAGCCUACACCACAGCCACAGCAAUUCAGGAUCCGAGCUGAGUCUGCGACCUACAUGAUGGCUCAAGGCAACGCCGGAUCCUUAACCCACUGAUCGAGGCCAGGGAUCGAACCCGCAACCUCAUGGUUCCUGUUGGAUUUGUUAACCACUGAGCCACAACAGGAACUCCUCCUUCAGAAAAUAUUUUUAAUAAAAGAUGGCUAUAAUGAAAAAGGUUAAGCUAUUAUCUUUUUAAAAAAUGUAUACUUUUGGAGUUCCUGCUGUGGCACAGUGAGUUAAGAAUCCAACUCCAGCAGCCCUGGUCACUGCAAAGAUGCUGUUUCAUCACCAGCCCCAUGAAGUGGGUUAAGGAUCUGGCGUUGCUGCAGCUGCAGUGUAGGUCACAGCUGGGGCUUGGAUUCAAUCCCUGGCCCAGGAACUUCCAUAUGCCAUAUUAUGUGUGUGUGUGUGUGUGUGUGUGUGUGUGUGUGUAUUUGUCAUUAUAAAAAGUCCUAAGUGUUUAAUAUAAAACUAUUGAAAAUGUAGAAUAGUAAAAAGAAGAGUUACCAAUCCGAAGACAGCUACUAUUAAUGUUUUAGUGGUUUCUUUCAUUUUUUUUUCUAGAAAUAAGUUUUCUUUCAUCUUUAAGAAAAACCUAUUUAUUUGUUUGCAUGACCUGAUUUCUCACAUUACAUAAGAACAUAUGAAUUUUUCCCAGGUGAUUAGAAACACUUAAAAUAAUUUUAGUUGCAUCAUAAUGUUUUGGUAAAGAUGAGCCAUACCUCAUGAACCUAUUACUGGACAUUUAUUUAGUUUCUCCUUUUUGGUUUAACAAACAGCCUUAUGAUGAACACAUUGGAGUAUACAAAACAGUUCCAUAUUUAGACUUUCUUAGAAUGGACUCCCACGAGUGAAAUUACUGGUUUGAUAAGCAUAAAAUAUUUUAAUUCUCAUUUGCAUCACUGCCAAUUGUCAUUUUAACGUGGCUAACUCGGAUUAUACUGCUACUAGAAAUGUGCAAGAAAGCAGCUUUCACACAGAUGCCAUUGCCCAGCAUUAUUAUAAAAAAACCAAACAACCGAACACUUCACCAAAGGGUCCCUCAUUAGUGUUGUAAUUUGCAUAUCUUUGAUUACUAGUGAGAUGGAACCUUUUCCCACUCUUUGUCAAACAGCUGAAUUUCCUCUUUUGUGAAUUGUUUACUUAUGUCCUUUGUCUGUUCAUCUCUUGGGGUCUUUGUUAUCCCUAAUGACAAAGAGGACUAACAGGCACUGUCCAGAGAAAGGCCUUCUGUCUGCAACACUGAAUUCAUCCUCUUUUCAGUAGAUUCAGACUCAGCGUAGGAACAGCAGAAUGAAGGGGAAACCCAAGGGUAGCGAAGUAAAGUGAUAGAUUUCUUUCUGCUGUAGCAGGGAAAUCAAAAGUUCGUGUUUCUUUACUAAACCCAGUUCCCAUUUAAUUUUUUAAAUUUUAAUUAAUUAUUUUGUGUAUUUACUUAUUUACUGGCCAUGCCCAUAGCAGGCAGAAUUUCCCAGGCCAGGGAUGGAACCCCUCGCCGCAGCAGUGACCAGAGCCGCAGCAGUGACCAGAGCCACAGCAGUGACAAAAAUGGAUACUUAACUGCCAGGCCACCAGGGGAACAACCCAGUUCUCAUUUUAACACUGCAUUCUAUGCAUUUUCAAAUAUCAUG